rnacentral:lncRNA from 1 species
AUUUAGGAUUCCUACAACAGAUGAGAAGAAUCCAAUUUUCAUUCCAAACAUUAGUGUGUGGUUUCUGGUUUCUUUAAAGCGCUCUUAGGUUAUUCAAACACAAUUAAGAAAAAGCUUUUUUCCUUGCUAGAAAUCAGCUGUUCUGGAAAACCAAGAGAUUCCUCCCGCUGCUUUGCAAGAGUCCUAAUCCAUAAUCUUUGCCACGAUCCAUCCUCAGAAAGCUCGGCGGUGCCUGUGGACGUGUGUAUCUGGCGACGCAGGCGGCCAGCGUGUGAGUGUGGGGAGGUAACUGGAAACCCAGGACGCCUCGCAGGCGUUCGGCAAGUACAAGGGUGGAAAAAAAGAUUUGUCUGAACAGUUUGACUUUUAAACAAAAUCGCAGAUUGAGGUCACUGAUAUAAGACCUGCAACUUGUUUAAGACUUUACACCAGAUUAAAAGUUUAGCGAGAAUUGAAGGAGAGGAGAGGGGAAGGUCCGGAUUUUUUUUUUUUUUUUUUUUUUUUUUACUAAAUGCGCUGAUUCCCUUUACCAGUCAGUCACUUUAAAGGAGAUCGGCUCAAUCUUAAUUCUUUUUCUAGAUCUCCAACUACAACCUACCCCUAACCCACCCUGAAUGACUCAACUCCAAACUGGGAGUGGAUCCGGCUUAAGCAGACACCACGCUCUCUGCAGUCACUGGCGUGGACUUGACCUACCAACAUGGCCAGCUGCCCCGCGCCUGGAGCACAAGACAGGCUGGCAGGGAAGUGGGACGAGAAAGUAAACGCAGCGGGAACAUGGUCGUUACACGUACCUUCUCCGAUUUUCCGACGGGUGGAAGACAGCCCAGGCAAUGACAAGGUGAACUCCGGGCAGGCAAGAAGAAAGGAGGGCUGGAAAACCACACUUUUGGUUAGCACAGAGAUGAGAAGAUCCUGGUUCUCCUCGCCCAAUUCUUAAACUUUGGUUACAAACCAUUUCAUUAUUUCAGUUUGUACAGACAUGAUGGGAGUCUGGUGUUCAUUGAGAAGGGAAGUAAUUCACCACUGAAAGUUUUGUUGGCUGUAAUAAAACCUAAUGAGAAAAUGAGAUGCAAAGAGUCUUAGUUUAGAGUUCAUUGGAAUGACAAGGCUUUAGUCUGGGGGAAAUAUUGGGAAUUACUUCUUUUAAGCACCACCUUCUUUUCUGGAAAGCUAGAGUAACAAUGCCCCAGGGCAACAUGGGGUUACUCAGUGUAUUUCUGCCCUUCCCUUCUAUUUUAUAGUUCAGACCCUUGGGCCUUGAAGACUUUUUUUUUCCUUCAUAGAAACAGUACAAAAAUGAAAGAUCAAGAAGCUAUGAACAAAUCUUUGUAUGUUGUAUUUCAUUUAAAACUACUUGGGGUAAGGGACACAGAGCCAGGGAAUCAUUAAUGUUGGGAUUCCAGAAUUUAAAAAAAAGAAAGAAAAAACCACAAACACACACAUGUGGCAAAUGCUGUUCCUUUUGAAAAAUCUGCCAAGAGUUUUCUUUGAACAUUCUUUAAGUAUGUUGCAGGUAAAUUUUUUUGGGAAAAAAGUGUCAGUAUAACAAGAAACAACCAAAUCUCAUCCUUGAAUGGAGCAUACCCACUAACUGGGUUGAAAUAUGGGAGAUCAAGACAAUAAGUAAGUGCUGAUCAUAAUUUAAAACAGGAUAGUCAGAUUUCAGCACACAAAAUUAGGAAAUUAUGGUGAAUUGGAUUCUUGGAGAAAGAAAGUUGAUUAAGAAAAUAUUUUAAAGGGCUGGGGAUUUAGCUCAGUGGUUUCACUGCCUGCUGCAUAAGCGCAAGGACCAG